rnacentral:rRNA from 1 species
UACGGAGGGUGCAAGCGUUAUCCGGAUUCACUGGGCUUAAAGGGUGCGUAGGAGGGCAGGUAAGUCAGUGGUGAAAUCCCCGAGCUUAACUUGGGAACUGCCGUUGAUACUAUCUGUCUUGAAUACCGUGGAGGUGAGCGGAAUAUGUCAUGUAGCGGUGAAAUGCUUAGAUAUGACAUAGAACACCAAUUGCGAAGGCAGCUCGCUACACGAAUAUUGACUCUGAGGCACGAAAGCGUGGGGAGCAAACAGG